rnacentral:rRNA from 1 species
GAUAAACGCUGGCGGCGUGCUUAACACAUGCAAGUCGAACGGUGAAGGCGGAGCUUGCUCUGCUGGAUCAGUGGCGAACGGGUGAGUAACACGUGAGCAAUCUGCCCCUGACUCUGGGAUAAGCGCUGGAAACGGCGUCUAAUACUGGAUACGAGCUGCGAAGGCAUCUUCAGCAGCUGGAAAGAAUUUCGGUCAGGGAUGAGCUCGCGGCCUAUCAGCUUGUUGGUGAGGUAAUGGCUCACCAAGGCGUCGACGGGUAGCCGGCCUGAGAGGGUGACCGGCCACACUGGGACUGAGACACGGCCCAGACUCCUACGGGAGGCAGCAGUGGGGAAUAUUGCACAAUGGGCGAAAGCCUGAUGCAGCAACGCCGCGUGAGGGACGACGGCCUUCGGGUUGUAAACCUCUUUUAGCAGGGAAGAAGCGAAAGUGACGGUACCUGCAGAAAAAGCGCCGGCUAACUACGUG